UUAUAGUUUAUGAUACAGAGAGUAUCCAUACUAGUAGAUUUUACAGAGAACUGGGUGGGGUGAGAGCCAGGGGAUUGAAAAUAUGGUGAAAAGGGCUGUGAAGACAAAUAGGACAAAGCUUAUCGGUGAGUAUCUUAUUUCGCAAUCAAAGCGUUACUUGAGUUGAGUUGGGUUUAUAAUAAACCAAAUAGAGUGGUAACGCGGGAAAUCUCGUCUCUUAA
rnacentral:ncRNA from 1 species